rnacentral:rRNA from 1 species
CUCAAGCUACAACCAUACGCGCAAUCCUCCGUCGCCAAUCGCCCAUGCAAGAAAUUGGCGUUCAAGUUCUUCGGGCCGUUCACUGUUCUAGAACGUGUGGGCAACCUGGCAUAUCGACUGGAAUUGCCCCCGGACAGCCGCAUCCAUCCGGUCUUCCACGUCUCCCAGCUCAAGUCGUUCGUCCCCAACUACACUCCUAUCUUCCUUGAGCUGCCCAAGGUUCCAGACCUCAUCUCCGACGACCAUGCUCCGGUGGCCAUCCUGGACCGCCGCAUGAUGAAGAAGGGGAACGCUCCAGUGGUGCAGGUGCAAGUUCAAUGGAGCUCCAUGUCGCCCUUCGCAACAACUUGGGAAGACUACGCCGUCCUGCGUCAACGCUACCCCAACGCGCAACUGUGGGGGGGAAGAAGAAGCCGCUGCUUGAGCGGGGGCAAAUGUCACGCCUGCUGA